rnacentral:rRNA from 1 species
UGGGGAAUUUUGGACAAUGGGCGCAAGCCUGAUCCAGCAAUGCCGCGUGCAGGAAGAAGGCCUUCGGGUUGUAAACUGCUUUUGUCAGGGAAGAAAUCCUUUGGGCUAAUACCUCGGAGGGAUGACGGUACCUGAAGAAUAAGCACCGGCUAACUACGUGCCAGCAGCCGCGGUAAUACGUAGGGUGCGAGCGUUAAUCGGAAUUACUGGGCGUAAAGCGUGCGCAGGCGGCUUUGCAAGACAGAGGUGAAAUCCCCGGGCUCAACCUGGGAACUGCCUUUGUGACUGCAAGGCUAGAGUACGGCAGAGGGGGAUGGAAUUCCGCGUGUAGCAGUGAAAUGCGUAGAUAUGCGGAGGAACACCGAUGGCGAAGGCAAUCCCCUGGGCCUGUACUGACGCUCAUGCACGAAAGCGUGGGGAGCAAACAGG